UGUUAGGAAAUUAGACGCAACUAAUUCCGCUCGGGAUCUAGUGUGACGCAAUAUUUUGGAUAUCGACCGAUAUGAAACGAGAAAAAUAAAUGACACCGAUAUUUUUAACGUGGUUCGGCCAAACUGCCUACGUCCACGGACCCACACCAAUAUAUUAGAGAAUCUCAAAAGGAGGAGUACAACAAAAAUACCACACUGUAUUUUGUAUCUGCCUACGCAGAGGCUAUCUCUCAACUCACUUUUAUCACUCGUGUAUAACUUCCACACUGAAGUUUUCUCUCACAAGAUUUUUCUCUCUCUCUCUUUCUCUAUCUCUCUCUAGCUGAAAGUUAGAUUGUUGUUUGGUGU
rnacentral:lncRNA from 1 species